rnacentral:lncRNA from 1 species
AUAUUAUUUAUAACUGUGUAUACCACAAUAGUUUAUCAAAUGUUUUAUAAGAAAAUCCUACACAAGACUAUAUAAAUGUUUUCAGAAAAAACACAAAUCAACAACAAUUUUUAAAUCUUAGCACUUCGUGCUUGAAAUAAUAUCUAACUCAAAUAUUCUAUAUGGAACUUUUUUUUCUUUCAAAAUCAGGGAAACAGAUGUGGUGGUGCUGAUGACACUUCUGGUGAAACUCUGGAUCCACAGACAGGAAAGGAGGACCUAGAACAACAAUCAGACUUUUGCAAAAUUAGGGAUUUUUCAAAAUAGUGGUUUUAUUAAAAGUACGGCUUUUCAAAAGUUUGGUUUCUCAAAGAAAGGUAGCUUGUUUCAAUAGGUUUCUCAAAAGGUAGCUUGUUUCACUGGUUGCUCAAAAAAAAGGUAGCUUGUUUCAAUAGGUUUCUCAGAGGUUUCUGGUACACUGGUUUCUCAGAGGUUUCUGGUACACUGGUUUCUCAGAGGUUUCUGGUACACUGGUUUCUCAGAGGUUUCUGGUACACUGGUUUCUCAGAGGUUUCUGGUACACUGGUUUCUGAAAGGUUUCUGGUACACUGGUUUCUCAGAGGUUUCUGGUACACUGGUUUCUGAAAGGUUUCUGGUACACUGGUUUCUCAGAGGUUUCUGGUACACUGGUUUCUGAAAGGCUUGUCACAAUGGUUUCUGAAAGGCUUGUCACAAUGGUUUCUGAAAAGCUGAUCAAUCAGAUAGAGCGGUAGAGGAGACUGGAAAGUCAGAUUAACCAAACUUAGUCAGAGGGAUAGAGAAAAGGGGGACACAAGAUAGAGUGGCUUUUCAAUUAGAUAGAGCGGUAGAGGAGACAGGAAAGUCAGAGCGUCCAAAAUGUAGCUAGAGGGAUAGAGAAAAGGGGGACACAAGAUAGAGUGGCUUUUCAAUAAGACAGAGAGGUAGAGGAGACAGGAAAGUCAGAGCGACCAAAAAGAUAGGGGAGAGUGGGGAGACUGGACACGAUAC